rnacentral:lncRNA from 1 species
CUAGCCAACUUUUUUUUUUCUUUUGGCGAUAUAAAUUUCAUGGACAGGCACAGCCCGCUCUGUCACGUUCUCUAUCGAAUAGUAGCAUACAAAUACUACUAUGGAAAGCACUCCACUGCAGGUUAAUUAAAGGUAUGGGAUUAGGCCUUGUUUAGUUACACCCAAAAGACAAAAACUUUUUAAGAUUUCCUGUUAUUAAAAUUUUGCGGCACAUAUAUAUAAAGCAUU